GAUGAACGCUUGCGGGAGGCCUAACACAUGCAAGCCGAGCGGUAUUGUUUCUUCGGAAAUGAGAGAGCGGCGUACGGGUGCGGAACACGUGUGCAACCUGCCUUUAUCUGGGGGAUAGCCUUUCGAAAGGAAGAUUAAUACUCCAUAAUAUAUUGAACGGCAUCGUUUAAUAUUGAAAGCUCCGGCGGAUAGAGAUGGGCACGCGCAAGAUUAGCUAGUUGGUGAGGUAACGGCUCACCAAGGCGAUGAUCUUUAGGGGGCCUGAGAGGGUGAUCCCCCACACUGGUACUGAGACACGGACCAGACUCCUACGGGAGGCAGCAGUGAGGAAUAUUGGUCAAUGGGUGCAAGCCUGAACCAGCCAUCCCGCGUGAAGGACGACUGCCCUAUGGGUUGUAAACUUCUUUUGUAUAGGGAUAAACCUACCCUCGUGAGGGUAGCUGAAGGUACUAUACGAAUAAGCACCGGCUAACUCCGUGCCAGCAGCCGCGGUAAUACGGAGGGUGCAAGCGUUAUCCGGAUUUAUUGGGUUUAAAGGGUCCGUAGGCGGACUUAUAAGUCAGUGGUGAAAGCCUGUCGCUUAACGAUAGAACUGCCAUUGAUACUGUAAGUCUUGAGUAUAUUUGAGGUAGCUGGAAUAAGUAGUGUAGCGGUGAAAUGCAUAGAUAUUACUUAGAACACCAAUUGCGAAGGCAGGUUACCAAGAUAUAACUGACGCUGAGGGACGAAAGCGUGGGGAGCGAACAGGAUUAGAUACCCUGGUAGUCCACGCCGUAAACGAUGCUAACUCGUUUUUGGGCUUUAGGGUUCAGAGACCAAGCGAAAGUGAUAAGUUAGCCACCUGGGGAGUACGCUCGCAAGGGUGAAACUCAAAGGAAUUGACGGGGGCCCGCACAAGCGGUGGAUUAUGUGGUUUAAUUCGAUGAUACGCGAGGAACCUUACCAAGACUUAAAUGGGAAUUGACAGCUUUAGAAAUAGAGCUUUCUUCGGACAAUUUUCAAGGUGCUGCAUGGUUGUCGUCAGCUCGUGCCGUGAGGUGUUAGGUUAAGUCCUGCAACGAGCGCAACCCCUGUCACUAGUUGCCAUCAUUCAGUUGGGGACUCUAGUGAGACUGCCUACGCAAGUAGAGAGGAAGGUGGGGAUGACGUCAAAUCAUCACGGCCCUUACGUCUUGGGCCACACACGUAAUACAAUGGCCGGUACAGAGGGCAGCUACACAGCGAUGUGAUGCAAAUCUCGAAAGCCGGUCUCAGUUCGGAUUGGAGUCUGCAACUCGACUCUAUGAAGCUGGAAUCGCUAGUAAUCGCGCAUCAGCCAUGGCGCGGUGAAUACGUUCCCGGGCCU
rnacentral:rRNA from 1 species